UUGCUCCUUUGGUUCUUAUUAAUUUGCAGGAAGAGGAACUCAUCGACCGGUUCUUCGUCUUGUCUCUCUAGGGUUUCGCAUGAUCUCCUCCCCUCCCCGUCCGAGAUUUCGCUGCGAUCCGUCUCUCGGGUUUCGGUGGAUCUCCGUCUCUCCCGCUUCUAUGUCGAAGAUUUCGCUGCGACCUAGUGUGAGUUGAUCCGACAUUGGAGGAGGAUUGGGUGGGGGGGAAUCGGUUCGUGAAGUUGAAGUGCAGAUCGAGGGCGACUCCUCUCCCGGAGGUAUUCUUCCUUUCCUGGAAGCUUUCUCUGAUUGGUUUCCUUUCUUCUUCUUGCCUUAUUAUUGCAAUGCGAUCUGGUGCGACGUCAUGGGACAUUGGACGAGGAUUAGGAGGGGAAUCGCGUAGUAAAGUUGACAGGCAGAUCGAGGGCUCCUUAUCUCCUGGAUGUAAAGUUUUUUCUUCUUGUUUUCCUUUCUUCUUCUUCCUGCCUCUUUUCUCGCAAUGUGCUGUGUUACGCUCAUGGAAACCCAUUCCACAAGCGUGUAUUCGAUUUCUUCUUUUUUUCCCCCUUUAAUUCUUUCUUUUAAUUAUGUAUCUCCCUCCCUCCUCCAUGUCUAAGAUUUCGAUGUUAUAUGACGUAAGUUAAUCGGACGUUGGACGAGGAUCAAGAGGCGAAUGGCUUAGAAGAGUCGGCAUGACGAUCUAACGCCCCUCCCUUCCUGGGGCUAUUCUUUCUUCUUGAUUUCUUUUCUUCUUCUUGCCUCUUUCUCGCAAUCCGCUGUGUGAUUCUCAUCGAAGCCCAUCGCACAAGUCUUAUUCCGUGUGAACCAGCAGGGUUAGUCCCGUUGAUCUCUUUGCCUGCGCGAGAGAGGUAUUCUUUCUUGAUUCGUUUUAUUUUGGGGUAAAAGAAUCUUCUAAAUUAGGGCUCGCAGGGUUUAGUUCUGUUCGAUUAAAAGAACAAAAGAUUCUGUAUAAGGAUUUCUUAUGUUGCUGCCUACAAGAUUUCUCUUGUCAGAGUUAUCCUUUCUGUUCCAUGUUCAUCUUUCUCUUGUCAGACUUGACAUUGAGCUAUUACAUGAUUGGAUAUGGAAUGCAUGUUUCCUUCAUUUCUCUUAUCAAUAUGCCUACAGAAAAUAUAGAUUUACCUGUCAUUGACGUCACUGUGUGGUGAGUAGUUCUUAAAGUCUUUGUAUGAGAUUCUGUUACCGAGUUGAGACAAUAGGUUUGCAGAUUCAGUGAAGUGGUGUCAUGAAAAACUGUAUUAGAGGGAGUUUUUUUUCCGGUCUUGAAAGCGUUACAUAAUUGUAGAACAUUAAAGCAUCUACAGAUUUUAUGCUGGGGAUCUAAGAUCACUUUUGUUUGACCAAAA